rnacentral:tRNA from 1 species
GCUGAUAUGGCUCAGUUGGUAGAGCGCACCCUUGGUAAUGGUGAGGUCGCCUGUUCGAUUGUGGGUAUCAUCGCUA